rnacentral:rRNA from 1 species
UGAUUAGCUAGUUGGUGUGGUAACGGCACACCAAGGCUACGAUCAGUAACUGGUCUGAGAGGAUGAUCAGUCACACUGGAACUGAGACACGGUCCAGACUCCUACGGGAGGCAGCAGUGAGGAAUAUUGGGCAAUGCUCGAAAGAGUGACCCAGCAACGCCGCGUGGAGGAUGAAGGUAUUCUAUAUCGUAAACUCCUGUGAGAGCAGACGAAAGACAGAUUAUUAAUCUGGAUGACUGUAUGCUCAGAGGAAGCCCCGGCUAACUACGUG